GAUGAACGCUAGCUACAGGCUUAACACAUGCAAGUCGCGGGGCAGCAUAAAGGAAGCUUGCUUCCUUUGAUGGCGACCGGCGCACGGGUGCGUAACGCGUAUCCAACCUUCCCCUUGGUAGGGCACAGCCCGGCGAAAGUCGGAUUAAUUCCCUAUGUUGUCCGAUGCAGGCAUCUAAGUUGGACGAAAGAUUCAUCGCCGAGGGAUGGGGAUGCGUAGGAUUAGGUAGUCGGCGGGGUAACGGCCCACCGAGCCAUCGAUCCUUAGGGGUUCUGAGAGGAAGGUCCCCCACACUGGAACUGAGACACGGUCCAGACUCC
rnacentral:rRNA from 1 species